rnacentral:sRNA from 1 species
UUUUUUUUGUCUUUUCUUUGUUUUGGCAUUUCAAAAUGUUUUUUUGAGAAAUAAUUGACUUUUAAAAUGGUCUAAUGGAGAUGU